UACGGAGGGUGCAAGCGUUAUCCGGAUUCACUGGGUUUAAAGGGUGUGUAGGCGGGCUAUUAAGUCCGAGGUGAAAUCUCCGAGCUUAACUCGGAAACUGCCUUGGAUACUAUUAGUCUUGAAUAUCGUUGAGGUUUGCGGAAUAUGUCAUGUAGCGGUGAAAUGCAUAGAUAUGACAUAGAACACCGAUUGCGAAGGCAGCGGGCUAAACGAUUAUUGACGCUGAGGCACGAAAGCGUGGGGAUCAAACAGGAUUAGAUACCCUGGUAGUCCACGCCCUAAACGAUGAUUACUCGACAUACGCGAUACACAGUGUGUGUCUGAGCGAAAGCAUUAAGUAAUCCACCUGGGAAGUACGACCGCAAGGUUGAA
rnacentral:rRNA from 1 species